rnacentral:rRNA from 1 species
CGUACUGCUCAGUAACACGUGGACAUCCUGCCCUUGGGUCCGGCAUAACCCCGGGAAACUGGCUAUAAUUCCGGAUAACGCACAUAUGCUGGAAUGCUUUCUGCGUAAAAUGGAUUCGUCUGCCCAAGGAUGGGUCUGCGGCCUAUCAGGUAGUAGUGGGUGUAAUGUACCUACUAGCCUACGACGGGUACGGGUUGUGAGAGCAAGAGCCCGGAGAUGGAUUCUGAGACAUGAAUCCAGGCCCUACGGGGCGCAGCAGGCGCGAAAACUUUACAAUGCGGGAAACCGUGAUAAGGGGACACCGAGUGCCAGCAUCAUAUGCUGGCUGUCCAGGUGUGUAAAAUACACCUGUUAGCAAGGGCCGGGCAAGACCGGUGCCAGCCGCCGCGGUAACACCGGCGGCCCGAGUGGUGAUCGUGAUUAUUGGGUCUAAAGGGUCCGUAGCCGGUUUGGUCAGUCCUCCGGGAAAUCUGACAGCUUAACUGUUAGGCUUUCGGAGGAUACUGCCAGACUUGGAACCGGGAGAGGUAAGAGGUACUACAGGGGUAGGAGUGAAAUCUUGUAAUCCCUGUGAGACCACCUGUGGCGAAGGCGUCUUACCAGAACGGGUUCGACGGUGAGGGACGAAAGCUGGGGGCACGAACC